GGCAUUUAUUUAGAGCAAAUCAGGAGUGAGCCGACUGACGACCAGAUGACCAAGGUUGCCUUCUCAGAAAACAAUUUUUUUGAAGGGAAGAACAUUCGGAUGGAACACUGUUUGAGUAUCCUGGAAGCUCUGGAGAAGAAUCAGCAGUUGUUUCGGAAACAAACCAAUUACCUUUACAGGCUGAUUGAGAGCACUGAAAUGGGACCUUCCUUUUACCAUAGAAAGGAAGCGGAUGAGGAUGAGGAUGAGCUACAGGAAAGCCAGAAAUGCUGUCAUCGGAGAGCUUGUGUUUAUGCGAGUGAUGAGCGUGUUUAG
ensembl:lncRNA